GUUAUAUUCGAGGCUAAACGCAACUCGUAUUAUGUGCAACUUCAACUACUGGCACCGGUAUAGGUAAGGUACGCGGUAGCCUAGCCAGAGACCGGUAGCUAAAGAGAUGGCGCUGACUUCAAACCACGUUAAAGUUGUGAAGCACGGCGAUGCGGUGAUGGGAGAGCACACACAGCGUGUGUACGACGAUAAGACUGGUAUGGUGGCCCAGAAGAAGACUACGUUUGCACAGGUUCCUGUGAAGGGAGGUGGACUUGCCUUUUGCGUUAGAGAGCAAGUACAAGUUGGACAAGUGGGUCCUCCAAGUUACACUCCACCUCCACGCAAUAUAGCCUUGCAGUAUAACGUAAAUGGGAGCCAAGCCUCGAAUCCAGGACGAUUUAAGAUACUUAUUUAAUCGGCUUCAAGUUGGAUUCGAGGAUAAUGCAUCUGAUAAACGAGUCUACAAAUGCAGCUGUCUUUUGUGCAGUUGCUUCAUUUUCUUGAUGGGCCUUGCGAUAAUCAUCCCUAUAGCUACUGUCGGUGGUUUGCAGUCAGGUGCCUCAGACUCUCUAUCAACUGGUGCAGCAAUCAGUGCGAUAUUUCUGGGUGUGAUAACUCUCUGUAUAUCCAUCAUCUGCUUCUGUACCCACUUUCUCAACUUUAAGACCUGUCAGGUGUUGCCCACAGGUGUCACUCCUAACCCUUAUGUUUGUUGCUACUCUGAUUACAAACACGGUGUUUUGUGUGUUGUUUGUGGUUCAGAAUAUCAACAAGCCUGCUGGGCUUGGCUCCUCCGCUGAAGUAGCUCAGCUGGCUGUUAUGAGUUUGUCUUGGAUUCUGCUACCGAUGUUUUGGGUCUUUUGUUUGUGCUCUGCUAAUACUUGCUGGAGCAAGCGUAAUAGUGCUGCAAACAUGUGAACUGAAACUGUAAUUUAUGUUUGUAAGUACAACUAUUGCAUGGUAGUGAGUUGUGUGACUGUCAACUAAAUCAUUGUUUGCUUUUUUAUAGUUAGUGAUUUUUACCACUUUGUUGCCUAGUAUUUAGAUUUAGGUCGUAUAAUAAAAACAUAUCAAUAAAAUA